CUGCCAAAAUAUUGCUAAAAUGUUCUGAAAGCAAGCAGAAUCUUACAAAAAAAGCAAACCCUCUUCUGUGUUUCACCUGUAAAAGGCUGGUUUCUUUUCUUGCUAAUUAGCAGGGCAGAUUGGCGGUGCGAUGGAUGAGCUGCCGCCUCGCAGCUCCUCUGUCCGGGGCAGGAAGGCUCAGCGGAGCAGGCGUGUGCCGAAUGACGCGGUGCUUUUGUAGCAUACGGACAAAUGUGUUUUGCUUCAAGACCACCAAACUCAUUUUCACUUGUGACUUGAACUGCGUUUCAACCCAGGCCUCCCGAAGGAAAGGAGAAAAUUAACCCCCUCAGCCCCUGCUCUGCGUCGCGUCAACCACAAACGUACAGAUAUCGUACGUCUGCCACGAGCAAUGAGUUUUAGGUUAUAGAUACAUAACUGUGCAUCUGAUACCAGUGCUGGCGGUUCUGUGCCCUGAUUUCAUACUGAGCUGGGAUUAAGCAGGUGUAUGAAAACACAUUGAACAGUUUGAAGCAAUUUAUAACCUGCACUAAAUUGAGGAUACCUGUGUACCUGUAUAUAAGAAAGAAAAGAUCCUGCAAGGUACACUAAGACCUUGGUUGCCAGCUGCUCUGUUGCAGUGGGAAGCAGAGGACCCGAAGGAGAAGGGUGGGAAGAAGCUGACCUUGUCUUUCAGCAGCCCCAGAACCAAGGUCCCGGCAGGACAUGGCUGUCACGCAGGGAGAACAUUCCGACCUCCUUCGUUUCUGCUGUUGAGAGCGAUUGCUGAGGAAAUUCCUCCCUUCUACAGCAAUAAGAUCUCUUCUUCCCUGCUGUGGCAUCCCUCAGUCGUGACCACUGCUGUCAGUGGCCCCUGUUCGCCACCAGAAUUUUGGUUAAAGGAUACCCAGGGACGCAGUGAUUGGGGCUGCCAAAGUGAUGGUGUGUUUUCCUCCAUUCCCCCAAUGGUACUGAGGGAUGGAGACUAGCUGUCAAAAUCACUGAACUGCCAUUUCAUGCGCAGUAAUCUCCAGAAUUUUGGCCAAAGAUGGUAGAUGUCAUCAUACUUCUGAAGCCUGUUGCCCAUGACACUGAGCUACAAAGGUCUUCAAUUAUUCAGCAAGUGAGGGUAGGUGUUAACAUCGCAUGUAACUAGUAGUGAACCAAUUCUGUCAAGUCUGGGAAGUGGUAGAGGUUUGGUUGGUUGGGUUUUUUUUUUUCGCCUGGUCACCUUUGAUAUUUAGUAAGAAAUAUUGAAAUAAGGCCCAACAUUAACUAGAAGAUUAUUGUAGAAGAGUAGCAAUGAGAAACAGAAGCUGCAUGAAAAGCAAAGGAGAAAUAGAAGUACUGAACCCAGAACUAUUUUUCUCUUUUGUUAGACUAAAUCACUAAUGAAAAUAUUUACAAUUUAGUUACUAGGAUAGUAACGCAGCCCAGGAUCCGCUGUAGAGUGUGAAGCUCAUUGUAGCUCGUCUGUCCCAGCCUGGGUACUUGUGUCCCCAGGGCAGCGUUGCUAUGGGAGCUCAGGGUUUGCUGUGGGUGCACAAACACCAGUGGGUCCCUGGGUGACUAACUUGUGUGUGUGGCUGCACUGACACUGCUGCGGAUGGUAGAAUUAGGAAAACGAAAGUUGGUUUGGACUUACUCAAAGCAAGCUUGGAGCUGUUGCGGUUGCACUAUUUAUUUCAGGGUGGACAUGGAAAACUUUACUUUUCAGGCUGGCUGGUUCAGCCAGCUCUGAGAUGACUUAUCAGCUUGGGAGCAGCUUGUGGUAGUCUUCCAUUUUAUGAAACUUCAGAAAGGCUUUAUUGACUUUGAUGGAUCUUUUGGCCCUCUUCAGAGUAAAUAGGGCUAUCUGAGCUAGACCUGUACCCACAGAAGUUAUUAAAGCCCUUCUAAAACUUUAAUAUCCCUGGUAGGGAUUCUUCCUGUUUUCUUUUUAGCUGCCAGCUUCACCCUGGCAAUGACAUUUUAAUCACAUCUACCCACCAAUGCCACCACCUUGUUUAGCCAGACCAAGAGUCUACAGCUCUGGUCAUUAUAUGCAUUGCUCUUCACAAUAAAACAUUUGUACCGAAGCUGUCAGUAAAUGUUUCUAUUUAACUAGUGAUUUAGUGUCCUGGAUUAUGCUGAAAAUACUUUGAACUGAUGGUUUUCUUAAAAGGCCAAACCGCUUCUUAUAUUGCAUCCAGUAUUGCUUUAAAUACACUGGGAAGACUUACCCAGUGCUAAAUGUUUCUGCAGACUUCUAAUAAUAUGUCGGGAACAAAUUCUGAGAAUGAAAAAUUGCUUUGAAAGUUCUCUAAGUUCUCACAUUUGAGGGAAGAUGAAGUAGAUUUUAUUGUCCUUCCCCAGGAUUAACAGUGCCCUUAAUACCAAUGGAUUUUCCUACGUAAAAGCGGGGAGAGUCUGCCCCUUAGCAGGUAUCUACUUGCUUCUGAGGAAACACUUUCCAGGUGAUUUGGGGAGUUUUCACAAUAUGCUUUCCAUUAGUCCUGGGAUGAGUGCUGUGCAAAUCCCUAGUCAGCACUUGGAAUAUCUACCAAUUAUUUUUUGAAAGCACAGAAUUCUUAGUAACUAGAGCUGUACUACCUGGUACAAAAUCACUUACUUUUCUUCACAACUGGGGUAAAUAUUGAUUGUCAGAAAACCAAUCCCAAAAUAUUUCUACAAAAUAGUAUUUUAUCACUGUUAACCAAUUCUUCCCCUGCCCCUUAUAUAUUAGGGAAAACAUAUAUAUUUACACAUUCCUAUCUCUUUUAAAAGUGUAUGGGUAAGGUGAGCAUCUAGCUCUGGAAGUACCUUUUCCUAAAAAUAAUGCACUAUAUUUAAAGUCCUCAGAGGUCUAUACUACCACUCACUGCAGUCUACUCAUGGUCAUUUGUUCUUUAUAAAAAUAUACAGAUUUGUCCAAAUUUGAAGGCUCAGUAGCUGAAGAUUAUAUAUUCUUAUUGUUGAUAUUCUUUAGAGGCAAAUAUUCUACAGAUCAUUAAAUGUUUUGAAUAGGAACUGUUGUCUUUAGCAAGCUAAUGCUGGCAGCCAGAUUUUCUGACUGUGAAGAUGCCAUUAAAAUGAAGAUGCUGGUGCAUCUUGAAAAUACCAGGAAGUCCCAUUUUUUGAUGUGUGAGAGAAUAAAUCCAAACCGAGUGUCCUAGGCAAUGACUGCGUUUGACCAGAUAUCAAUAAAUUCAGUUAAGCAAUGAAAGUAUUUAGGCAUUCCUGAAAAAUCCUGAUUUACCUCAGCCUACAACUUUAGUUAUAGUUGCAUUGUUUAGCCCCAAAUACUCUCAAAAUCUUCCACUUGAGGCCUCCAUUUUGCGAUCUUCUAUAGAAAUCUAGUCUACAUAUUAAUAACGUAUCAAGCUUGUCUUUCAUUUCAGACGGCUGAAAACAAGAGCUAAUUAGAUAAGCGGAGUAGCUGAUUAUAGUUUCUGGGUAUGUGCACUUGGUAACAACUCAAAGGUUAUUUGAAAUUGGUGAGUCUUUGUGUUGAGCUUGCUGUGCUUUAGAUCCAGGUCUUAAUCUCUCCAUAAUGAAGUGCUGCUCCGGUUCCAAAGUGGUAUUUAAAAAGACUUUAAAAUGCUGUUAUGUAUGUUGUUGCUUCAAGGCUGUUCAGAAGACUGAAGAUACAUGCCCUGAAGCAGUAUUAUACACUGCUAAAGAACUAACUCCCUCAGGCUGAGAUUCCUGGCACUAUCUGGAAAAAAAUAUCAUAAUAAAAGAUAUUUCAAAUACAAAUGAUCCUAAAAAAAUCCCCUUUAGGGAAACGUUAGUGAAUUUGACAUGCUUCUUUAUUCCCCCGAAUGGUUUUAGAAAUGUGGGUUUAGUUUAAAAUAUGUUAUUUUGGCGUGUUUGCACGUGUAGCUGUAAUCCCAAGGAAAUUUUCAGCAGUAGUAAAAAUGAAAAUAGAAGUAACCUGAGUACUAAUACUAACUAUAAAAUAGAAAACAUCUAAAGGCUAAUUGUAUAACAGUGUAAGCAUUUUAUUAGUAUUUCCUUUAUAUCACUUGUUGCAAACCUUUGGAUGUAAAUUAAUUGGUUGUUCAUAGUAUAGACUGUACUGAUUAAAAAAAAAAAAAAAAUCACAAAAUUUGGAAUUUUGAUAAAUGUGAAACAUAUGCUCCGCUACUUAAAACCUGUUCUUGUGGUCUGCAGAUGAUACCAGGGCUUCUAAUAAUAAUAACAGAACUGCACAGAAAUCACAGAAUUAUUUGUUUUAAGCUGUUUCACGAAGACAAAAUCUACCAAAUAGCUAACAGGUUCUGCUGUGAGCGUUUUACUGCUCCUUCUCCCUGGAUACUUGCACUUAAGUAAUUUAUUUAGUUCCCAAAUUACAAUAAAUCCUUACCGUAGCAUGAAACAGUAUUUGUGAGUCCUUCUGUAAGAAAUGCGCGGAGCGCGGCAGAAGGAAAGCUCUCGGUGCUGUUACAAAGAACGCUUCACCGACACAGGGUGUGCAAAAUCAAAUGUAUUUCUUUUUCAUUAUGCAUUGCCAUCUAGUGGUGUGCGGCCCCCGCGUGUCUCACCAUGGAACCAGGGAACUCACGCCCGUCAUUUGUUCAUCGUGUUUUCACUGAUUAUUAUCUUUACAGAGAAUAGAGGCUCUGCUGCAAGGAUCUGCUGACUGCAUUGGCCGUCAUGUCUGUAUGCUCUAACAUUUCCUUUCACUUUGUUUUGAAUAAAGAUUCACAGGGGAAAAAGGGAAGAGGCAGGGGUGAGGAAUGGUCUUUGACUUUCACUUGGUUGCCCACUUAGCUCAGUCAGUGAAAAUCACAGAAUCACAGAAUGUCAGGGGUUGAAGGGCCCUGUAAAGCUCACCCAGUGCAAUCCCCCCAUGGAGCAGGAACACCCAGAUGAGGUUACACAGGAAGGUGUCCAGGCGGGUUGGAAUGUCUGCAGAGAAGGAGACUCCACAACCCCCCUGAGAAUAAAAUGGUGCCAGGUUUGCAUGUUGGCUUGAUUUCCUUCCAAGAACAGUAGAAGGUGGUCAAGAAUUGGAUCAUAAUUCUUGGGCAGAAUUCUUUCUCCAGAAAGGUGAGAUGACUCCAUGACUCAACUGCCUGAAAGGAUCUUGGAGCCAGGGCGGGUCGGGCUCUGCUCCCCAGGAACAAGCGCCAGGAGCAGAGGAAACGGCCUCAAGUUGCGCCAGGGGAGGUUGAGGUUGGAUGUGGGAACAAUUUCUUCCCCAAAGGGCUGUGGGGCAUUGGAACAGGCUGCCCAGGGCAGUGCUGGAGUCACCAUCCUGGAGGGGUUGAACAGAUGGAGAUGAGGUUCUCAAGGAUAUGGGACAGUGCCAGACUUAGGUUGUGAUUGGACUUGAUGAUCCUGAGGGUCUCUUCCAAUCCAAAUGAUUCUGUGAUGACUCAGUCGGCAUUAAUGCUGGUUGAAUGAUCCCUGUGAGCCAUGGGGCAGCGACAGCCAGUUUGUACCUGGAGCAAUUCUUUCUGUUAACACGGGCCAAAAAGAGCUUUCUUGCACUGAUAGAAAUGCAGAACAACCUCACCAACCUCCAGGAAACUCCCCUGCGUUUUUAUUGGUAUCACCAAGAACUGGUCAUUUGUUUAACUUCCACCAUGUCUUCUUUGUACCCAAAUUUUCAUACCUUCCAAUAAAGUGAAGUUAAAUUAACAGCAGCUGUAGUUGUGCUCCAGGGGGGUGUCCGUUCAUCAGAGAUCAGGCAACUGGAGUAUUGUCUGCCAAUUACAUGGGAAUCCGGAAAGAUUUUUUCGAUACUCUCCACCAUUUACUUCAAUUCAUGUCAGCAAUGAAAUCCUUCAGUCAUUUAUAAAGUCAUUAUACCAAAUUAUUUCCCACAAAGCUUCGUUUGGGCUAAUGGAUAUAUUUAAUUUUUACACACAUAUCUGUGGGAAAGAAAAAGCCACUGAAGCGCGUUGAAUGAAUUGCAGCAAAGUGCAGUUUUUCUUAAGCUCGGCAAAAAUAACUGCGACACUGUUCAGAAAUAUUUCUGAAACAGUUUUUCUUAAAAAAUGAGUGACAUGUGCUUGUCUUACCUUUCCACUGCUACCAAACCUGUUGUAAAAAAAAAAGCUUGUUAUUUUCUUAUACUGAAAUAACAGUGCUGAAAUCCUCUUUGUGCUGUGCCCUUCUGUCAUUAUAUCAUACGCUUCAUGACUUGCCAAAUGCCUUGUGAGAAAGAAGAACUGAUGCUGUUCCUCUCCAUAGUGUUUUCCAUGUCCCCAGCAGGAUUUCGGUGCAGGUUAUCAACGCGAAGUAACUCCUGGAACACGCCAUGCAGCGUAUGUAAACUGUUGAAGGCCCCAUACCCUGCAGAGACAGAAAACCACCAGCACAGCACCGAUGCAGACCCACCAGCAUAACCACGCUGAGCUUCUGCUGUCAUGUUCGUCACCAAGCUGCAGUAAAAGAAACUACCCAGAGUGCCCACACCAGCUCUCGGAGGAGCUUGUCCUUGCUCUGCUGCUUUCUCCCUACCUUUCCCUGGCUGUACAGGAGCAGAUUUCCACAGUGCCUGAUUAAGGGUUCGCAGUGCGGGGCGCUGUGGUGACCACUCUUGGGGAAGGAGGGGAACCAAGGCCUGAAGGAAAGCAGCACGGCUUCCACGGGGCUCGGCUGUGACAACGCUCCUGACAGGUUCUCAGCUUCUCAUCAGGAAGGUGAGGGGCUCUGACCGGUGUUUCUCAUCAGCUGAUGGAGCCAGCAGCGAUGCUGAGUGUGUCCAUUCUUUUGCCAUGUUCUUCCUUUUCAUUUUCCAGCUCUUGUCCCUUUUGGGUGAGCACAUCCAGCUGUUUUUUGCAGAGAAGCUGGCCCUUUGGUGCCCAGGAGCUGUGCUGGGUAGG